rnacentral:lncRNA from 1 species
CUUAAUCUAACAUUCGUUCUGUUGUAAGAACCCUUUUUGUUGGUUUAAAGGUACCUUUAGUUUUCUCAAUGUUGGUAUUUUCCUCAUCAAAUUACCCAGUGUUAUUGCUUAGUAAAUGAGUGAAAGCCCCAACAGAUCUCCUUUAUCUUCACUAUAGUCUCUAGUGCUGUUUUUCUUAUUCCUUUAUGUACUGUGAUCCAGUUAGACUAUGCUUUUGUUAUAAUCAAGUUUCCACAUUUUGCUAUCUUUUAUUAAUUUUUUUCGGUGUUAAAUUUUUGAGUUCUUUAUAUAUCCUGGAAAUAUUCUUUAUCUAUUCUGUCAGUAGGUAGCAAAGGUUUUCUCCCAGUCUGUAGGUUCUCUCUUCACAUUUUUCAUUGUUUCCUUUGCUGUGCUAGAGGAAGCAAAUUAUAAUAGCGACUUAUUUUACUUUUAAUGGCCAACUGGUUUGCUCGAGAUUGAGAAAUAUUGAAUUUCAAAGCUUAAACUAGGACUAUUGGUGAUACGAUUCCAGUUAAUAAUAAAGCUAUCUCUUUUGCAUAUUACUGCUUUAGUGCACUUUUAUUUAGUAUUUAUUUUUUAUUUAGUUUUUAUUUUACUGUGGACACAGUACCUUUGUUUUAUUUUUAUGUGGUAAGGAUCGAACCCAGUGCCUCAUGCUACUAGGCGUGCGCUCUACCUCUGAGCCACAACCCCAGCCUCUUUAGUGCACUUUUGAGAGAAAAAAUAGAUAUGGGUAAGAGGUGGUUGGAUUUGAGGAGGGGGUGGCACUUGAAUAUUUAUUUAUUUUAUAUUUUUCUUUCCAUUAUUUAUAGUUAUUUUUCCAUUUGAAAUUUAGCAUUAACUUUCUAUUGCUAAAAGAACCUUUUUUAUGUUUAUUAAGUUUCAGGUGUAAUUAUUUUUGGUGGACAUUCUUUAAUGUUCACAUGAAGUGCAUUUAACCAAUUUAUUCAUCUGUAUGGGGAUAUAUUUGUAUAUGAAGUAUCUUAGUGACCUUACUAGAAGAAGGUGGUACUUCUUAAAUUUUAGAGAUUGCAUAAUCUGUCAGAAACAGCCUGAUAAUUUCCUGUUUGUUCCUUUUAUAGCGAUAUAAUCUUGGAUCAUAGGUUUAUAGAAAGAAUAUUUCUAAAAUAAUGUCAUUCCUUUGCUGCUAAAUAUUGUAGAGGCUAGUAUCUGUUUAACGAGUAGCAGGUAUAUAACUUAGAAUAAAGUGGCUGCUAAAAAUCCUUGUAAGUUUUAUCAGCACAUAUGCCAUAAUAGGACAUAAACUGUUCUGGGAUAUACAUUUUUACCUUGUGAUAUUGUUGAAAACAUAAUCAACAUUAAAAUAUUGAUAUCUCAUACCUAAAAGAGCAUUAAAGUUCCAGUUUCUUCAAAAAUUUAAUGUACUUCACUGUGCUGUACAUACUCUUAUGUUUGCUGUUUACUAGCACAUUCUGGAUGGUUUGCUUGACUAACUUCUCAUUCUUGUAAGAAUGUGAAUAGAGCCCUUUUGAUGUUAUUUUAGCUCUUUAUGUUUCUUUUUGCCAGUUUUUGCAAUGUAUGUUGAUUCUUCGAUGAAAUCCUGAACUGUUGUAGAAAAACUGCUGUGCCUUUAAAACAAAUGUAUUCAACAGUGUAUUCCUAUAUGGAAAUGUAAAGAUCAAAUUCAACUAAUGAAAAUACUUGAGAAGACCAAAAAUGGGGAAAUUUAUAUUAAAGUUGAUAAAGACUGGUGUUCUUUUCACAAGAGGAAGAACUCUUUGCUUUCUUUGCUUGUGAUGGUUUUAAUUUUUAAUAGGCACAGUGUUGUGUUUGUUGUUGUUGUUGUUGUUUUUAAAGUAGAUCCUAGAAUGUGGAGUGGACACUGGCAGUCUUGUGACUAUGUAAUGAAAGAUGCUUGCUUCUCUUUUUAUAGAAGACUUCCAAUAAAAAAAAAUAGGAGUAAGUCAAAAAAUUGUGGACACUUUUUAGGCAAAUGAUUUUUUGUUAUGGUUUAUUGUACAAUACAAGCCAGUCACUGAUUAUUUUAUAUUGAGAAGCUCAUUAAGCUAAAAAGGUUUUGGGUUUUGUGAAAUUUCAUAUUUCAUUUCUCACUAACGGGGGCGGGGGGCAUCAAAGUUAAUUUGGUAUCACCUUACAAGAUACUUCAUAUACAAAUAAACUAAAACCUUGAAACUGAGUUGAGAUUUGUGAUCACCGAGUUUCUUCCUUUGUACCUCCACUUGUCUCCCCAGCCCUCGUCACUUCAGUCAUGCCCAUAUUUUUCCCCCAAAUGCCCUGAUCUUGCAGUGAAUUCCCCCAUUCCCUUAAAAUAAACACUUAGUGAUUUACAUAUCCACUAGUCUGGUUUAAAUAACUACUUAUGAAGCUUUAUCUGACAUUGCUUUACAAAUAAUUGUUUUCUGCACUCACCACAAGCACUUUGUUCUGUAGAUCUUGUUUGAGCUUACACAGUGCAAACAUUAUGAACAUUUUAAUGUAUAGAACUAACAAAGUGACCUCUGAGCCAUAAAAGCCACUAAAUAUAGUUACUGUAUUUAUUUUUCCUCAAAUUUGUAUAAUUCUCACCUCUUUGCCACAAUUUAAACUAAUACUUAAGGGGUGGAGGCAUACACCUGUAAUUCCAGCAACUCAAGAGGCUGUGUCAGGAGCAUGGCAGGUUUGAGGUCAGCCUUGCAACUUAGUCCCUAUCUCGAUAUUAAAAUUAUAAAGGGCUGGGGACAAGGCUCAAUGGCAAAAUGCCCCCAGGGUUCAAUCUCCAGUACUACAAAAACUAAUAGCUCUUAUCUGGUCAUUGGAAUUCAAGUACAUAGCAAAUUAAUAUUUUUAUUUAAUAUUUGUAUCCUUUAUUUUCCUUAUCCUGCGUGAGAAAUAAUGAGGACCUUUAUAAGGUAGUUGAAGUGGAGAGACUAGAAUUGAUUCCAAAGAUAACAAAGUAGGAUGAAUCAGAAUUGGUAAUGGGGUGAAGAGACAACUCCAAGAAAAUUAGUUUGCUCUUAAAAUAGUAUGCUUUGAGGGCUGGGGUUAUGGCUCAGCAGUAGAGCACUCGCCUAGCAUGUGCAAGGCCCUGGGUUCUAUCCUCAGCACCACAUAAUAAUAAAAUAAAGAUUAAAAAAAAUAGUAUGCUUUUGAAAUCCUUUAGUUUCAGUCACUAUAAACAGAUAAACUAGAAAAUUAACAUUUACUGGCUACUUACUAUAUUACUCAUUUUGCGUUUGAAUCUUAAAAGCUCUUAAGGUGAUUGUUAUUCCUAUUUUCAGAUAAACAAAUGAGGCAGAGAUGUUAAAAUAACAUGACUAAAGUCAUUCAGAAUUGUUGCUAUAUUUUCCUACUUUUAUCAUUAUCUCAAUUUAAAAUACAGUUAACUAAAACCUUUAAGUGUGUGAUUCUAAGAUACAUGGCAAAUAAUAAAAAUAAAGACCGUACACUGUAGUUAUUAAAAUUAUUUUUGGAAUACACAGCAGAUCUUUGAUUCAGUAUGCAUGCCUGUAGAAUUUACAGCUAGAUAUUUAAUAAGGGGGAGUGGGGGUGUUGCAGAAACUGACAAGUUGUUUUUUGGCAUGUCCAGAGAAUUCUUAGGAGCAGGGAAGAGUUGUGCACAAAUCCACUGUAUUUGGAAGGAUCUUGAGACCACAAUAUUUCUUCUUGCCUAUGUUUGAAAUGUUGUUCUCUCCAUGCUUGUAAUUUAACUACGUUGCUCAUCUAUUGAAUCAGCUGAGAAGUCUAUUAGGAAACUGGUUCUUCUGCAUUUGUCAGAUUACUGAUAAAUCAUUAUUCU